rnacentral:rRNA from 1 species
CAGCACCUCAAGUGGUCAGGAUGAUUAUUGGGCCUAAAGCAUCCGUAGCCUGCUUUGUCAGUUUUCGGUUAAAUCCAUACGCUCAACGUAUGGGCUGCCGGGAAUACUGCAAAGCUAGGGAGUGGGAGAGGUAGACGGUACUCGGUAGGAAGGGGUAAAAUCCUUUGAUCUAUUGAUGACCACCUGUGGCGAAGGCGGUCUACCAGAACACGUCCGACGGUGAGGGAUGAAAGCUGGGGGAGCAGACCGGAUUAGAUACCCGAGUAGUCC